rnacentral:rRNA from 1 species
UACGGGGGGGGCAAGCGUUGUUCGGAAUCAUUGGGCGUAAAGAGCGUGUAGGCGGCCAGAAAAGUCCGCUGUGAAAACUCGAGGCUCAACCUCGAGACGCCGAUGGAAACCAUCUGGCUAGAGUCCGGAAGAGGAGAGUGGAAUUCCCGGUGUAGCGGUGAAAUGCGCAGAUAUCGGGAAGAACACCCGUGGCUAAGGCGGCUCUCUAGUACGGUACUGACGCUGAGACGCGAAAGCGUGGGGAGCGAACAGG